GAUACUGCCAAACAAUUAAUUGUUGUUUCUGACGGGAUUCGGAGCAGUGGUUCCGAAAUUAGAUUGCUCUAAUGACAGCUGAAGUAUUCACAAGUUUUUUGCAAUGUAAUUUAUUAAAUAUUGUUAACGGACGGUGUGAACGGAAGGAGAUUGUAUAUCCAGUAUUUGUUUUCUUCUUAAUUGAUUGACGAGGCAACAGCCGGAAGGAGAGACACGAAACAUACUUUUAGGAGAAAUGCAAGAAGUUAUGCUAAGAAAAAUUGUGGUAA